GUCGUAACAAGGUUUCGUAUAGUGACAGAUCCUUCUGUAGCACACUCCGGAGACCAUGCAACCCUCAGGGGAGGCUGCGCGACCCUAAACAAAGCUGACCAUUUGCAAGUUGGGACACCAGCAACACGAUCGAAAUGUCGGGGACCUCCUAAAGCUCUCGCUACCCUACAGGUACUGAAAGGUACCUGCGACCGGUAAAAGUGCGAGAGAUGUUACAAUGGACGAUCCGCAGCGAAGACUCUAAGGGCUGAGCCUAUGGGUAACGUUCACAGACUAGGUGAUUGUGGGCAGUGCUACUGCUUAAGAUAUAGUCGGGCCUGUAGCGAAAGUUAUAGGGCUUAGCGUCCGUAGGUGAACCUGCGGAAGGAUCAUUACAGAGUUCAUGCCCUAACGGGUAGAUCUCCCACCCUUGAAUACAUACCUUUGUUGCUUUGGCGGGCCGCUUCGGCUGCUGGCUUCGGCUAGUGAGUGCCUGUCAGAGGACCCAAAACUUCGAGUUAUAGUGUCGUCUGAGUAUUAUAUAAUAGUUAAAACUUUCAACAACGGAUCUCUUGGUUCUGGCAUCGAUGAAGAACGCAGCGAAAUGCGAUAAGUAAUGUGAAUUGCAGAAUUCAGUGAAUCAUCGAAUCUUUGAACGCACAUUGCGCCCCUUGGUAUUCCGAGGGGCAUGCCUGUUCGAGCGUCAUAUAAACCCCUCAAGCUCAGCUUGGUGUUGGGGCCUGCCUCCAGGCAGCCCUUAAAAUCAGUGGCGGUGCACCGGGCUCUAAGCGUAGUAAUACUCAUCGCUAUAGGGUGCCGGUGGAUGCUCGCCAGCAAUCUCCAAUUUUCUAUGGUUGACCUCGGAUCAGGUAGGGAUACCCGCUGAACUUAAGCAUAUCAAUAAGCGGAGGAAAAGAAACCAACAGGGAUUGCCUCAGUAACGGCGAGUGAAGCGGCAACAGCUCAAAUUUGAAAUCUGGCUCUUUCAGGGUCCGAGUUGUAAUUUGUAGAAGAUGCUUCGGGUGUGGCUCCGGUCUAGGUUCCUUGGAACAGGACGUCAUAGAGGGUGAGAAUCCCGUAUGUGACUGGUAGCCUUCGCUCAUGUGAAGCUCUUUCGACGAGUCGAGUUGUUUGGGAAUGCAGCUCAAGAUGGGUGGUAAAUUUCAUCUAAAGCUAAAUAUUGGCCAGAGACCGAUAGCGCACAAGUAGAGUGAUCGAAAGAUGAAAAGCACUUUGGAAAGAGAGUUAAACAGUACGUGAAAUUGUUGAAAGGGAAGCGCUUGCAACCAGACUUGCAUGUAGUUGAUCAUCCGGUGUUCUCACCGGUGCACUCUGCUAUAUUCAGGCCAGCAUCGGUUUUGGUGGUUGGAUAAAGACCUUGGGAAUGUAGCUUCUUUCGGGGAGUGUUAUAGCCCUCGGUGCAAUGCAGCCUACCGGGACCGAGGACCGCGCUUCGGCUAGGAUGCUGGCGUAAUGGUUGUAAGCGACC
rnacentral:rRNA from 1 species